CGAUGGAAGUUGUUUUUAAUUUGCUGUGUUGUCAAGAAGAGUGGAAUAGAAUUGCAUUUUGUUUUCGAAUUUAAUGGUGAUUAAUAAAAAUAGAUUUAUUUGUUUUAUGUGCUUUGAAAAUGGAAAACAUCCACUGUUGCUGAAUUUAAUAUAAGUUUGUCGGAAGCCGGUUCAAGAAGCACCAACAAUCGAUGCGCGUUAUUCCUGCAUGAACCAUCGACCUCUUUCCGGUGGAAAAUUCACCAUUUAUCAGUUCCUGAUGUAUCAUCUUUCAAAGCUGUGAGCAAAGGAUCACGGAAGCAACGAUUGGCUUGAAGGGACUGUUAUGGAAACAACAGCUUUUUAUGUGGAAAAACCGCCGUUGAUAGUGAUUUAUUUAAGAUAAAUACUCCUUCAGCUGAAAAUAGAAGAUUCAGAGAAGAAAUGUGUAACGAGAGAAAACAAGAUUUUCGC